AGAGUUUGAUCAUGGCUCAGAAUCAACGCUGGCGGCGUGCCUAACACAUGCAAGUCGAACGCGAAAGGGGCUUCGGCCCUGAGUAGAGUGGCGAACGGGUGAGUAACGCGUGGGUGAUCUACCUUUGAGUGGGGGAUAACGUUCCGAAAGGAGCGCUAAUACCGCAUGACGUUCUGGAUUUGAACAUCUGGAAACCAAAGCCGGGGACCGCAAGGCCUGGCGCUUGGAGAGGAGCCCGCGUCUGAUUAGCUAGUUGGCGGGGUAAUGGCCCACCAAGGCGACGAUCAGUAGCCGGCCUGAGAGGGCGGACGGCCACACUGGGACUGAGACACGGCCCAGACUCCUACGGGAGGCAGCAGUGGGGAAUUGUUCGCAAUGGGCGCAAGCCUGACGACGCAACGCCGCGUGGGGGAUGAAGGUCUUCGGAUUGUAAACCCCUGUCGAGCGGGACGAAUAGCCCACCGCCUAAUACGUGGUGGGAAUGACGGUACCGCUAAAGGAAGCCACGGCUAACUCUGUGCCAGCAGCCGCGGUAAUACAGAGGUGGCAAGCGUUGUUCGGAAUUACUGGGCGUAAAGGGCGCGUAGGCGGCCUUCUAAGUCAGACGUGAAAUCCCCCGGCUUAACCUGGGAACUGCGUCUGAUACUGGGGGGCUUGAGUGCGGGAGAGGGAUGCGGAAUUCCAGGUGUAGCGGUGAAAUGCGUAGAUAUCUGGAGGAACACCGGUGGCGAAGGCGGCAUCCUGGACCGACACUGACGCUGAGGCGCGAAAGCUAGGGUAGCAAACGGGAUUAGAUACCCCGGUAGUCCUAGCCCUAAACGAUGAGUGCUUGGUGUGGCGGGUAUCGAUCCCUGCCGUGCCGAAGCUAACGCAUUAAGCACUCCGCCUGGGGAGUAC
rnacentral:rRNA from 1 species